UAAAUUGUAAUUUUAUUUAAUGAGUAGUAAAAGUUAUGAUCUCUAAACUUAAAAAUUUUGGCGGUAUUUUAGUCUUUUCAGAGGAAUCUGUUCUUUAAUCGAUAGUCCCCGAUAGACCUAACUGAAAUUUGUAAUCAGUUUAUAUACCGUCGUUAUAAGAAUUUUUUAUAAGAAUAAAUAAUUUUCUGGAAAUAAAAUAAUAUUGUAUAUCAGAUAAAGGUGUAGCUUAUGUUUUAGUAGUAAUGGAUUACAAUAAAAUUAUUUAAACGGAUUUUAAAUGAAAUAUUAGCAUGAAGGUGGAUUUGUCAGUAAAUUUUAUGAGAGUGUAGAAUUGAUUUUAGCUCUAAAAUGUGUAC
rnacentral:rRNA from 1 species